CAUGUCAGCACAUACAUUCCGGUUUUUUGCGAGAUUUUGCCGAGUAUGGUCUGUGCGGGAAGGCAUUGACUUGAUGCCUUUCCUGAAAGUUGUUUAUCAGAUAACUUUCAAUUUUCAGACUAUUUCGUUCUAAGGUCAAGAUUAAAUCGCAGCACUAAAAAAUAGUUUGUUUUUUUGCGAGAUUUUGCAAACUAUUUUACCAUACAUUGCUGAAAACAAUCUUAAAUACCUCAGAACAUGUUAUAUAAA